CCUAUCAUUUUAAUAUUUGAUGCAUCCUCUGACCGAGGACAAUGUAUUAAAUAGAUUUUUGGAGCUGGGAGAUGAAAUUGGAGCUUACUCUGUCCACUCUGGGGAUUGACCUGGUAUGGUGGCACUUCCUGGAAUGGUGC
rnacentral:snRNA from 1 species